AUACGUAGGUGGCGAGCGUUGUCCGGAAUUACUGGGUGUAAAGGGCGUGUAGGCGGGGAUGCAAGUCAGGUGUGAAAUACCGAGGCUUAACUUCGGGGCUGCAUCUGAAACUGUAUUUCUUGAGUGUCGGAGAGGAAAGCGGAAUUCCCAGUGUAGCGGUGAAAUGCGUAGAUAUUGGGAGGAACACCAGUGGCGAAGGCGGCUUUCUGGACGACAACUGACGCUGAGGCGCGAAAGCGUGGGGAGCAAACAGGAUUAGAUACCCUGGUAGUCCACGCCGUAAACGAUGGAUACUAGGUGUAGGAGGUAUCGACCCCUUCUGUGCCGGAGUUAACACAAUAAGUAUCCCACCUGGGGAGUACGGCCGCAAGGUUGAA
rnacentral:rRNA from 1 species